rfam:Schistosoma mansoni strain Puerto Rico chromosome 7, complete genome
GCACUGCUGAGGAGUCCCAUACUUGGACGAAACGGCCGUCCAAUGC